rnacentral:rRNA from 1 species
CCUACGGGAGGCAGCAGUGGGGAAUAUUGCGCAAUGGGCGAAAGCCUGACGCAGCAACGCCGCGUGAGUGAUGAAGGCCUUCGGGUCGUAAAGCCCUGUCGGAGGGAACGAAUGUUUCCAGGGUUAACAGCCCCGGGAAGUGACGGUACCCUCAAAGGAAGCACCGGCUAACUCCGUGCCAGCAGCCGCGGUAAU